AGACGCUUAGGAUAAAUAAUAAACCAGUGGCCUUCAACGCCACAAAUAAGGAUAAACCCUUAGCUUCUG
rnacentral:tRNA from 1 species